UACCUCUCGCUACUCCACGCCAAAUCGCCGAACUUGUCUGGCUCAUCUCGGCCACUUCGACGAAGCCUUCCACCGUGCUCUGGGCUCCUAUCGGUGGCUCACCACGUAAUCGGUUCCGCGGAGGACCUCCUGACCGGCCACAGAUCCUCGUUGGCGUGGUAGCAUCGAGCGAAGGUUUCCGAUGGCGGCAGGAGACGGAGCAAGGCAAGCUCAUACCCUUUAUGAUUGAGCGAGAUCUGUGAGUGAGGAUGACUUCCAGGAUACGCCGGAAGGUCCUCGGACGGAGUAGACGAGGAGGCGGGAUGGACGCAUGGUGUUGUCCGAAUGUCUAGGAGUGCAGAGCAUACUGGUUUCAUUGUGAGAGAUUUUUUUUCCUUAUUAUAUGUAAAGAGGGAUGUUUGGGGAUUAUUGUCCUUAUUCAUUAAAUUCCUGAUCGAUGCAAUCAUUUCCCUUGGUUAAGAUA